GGGAAAAGCUCAAAUUUAGAAUCUGGCAGUCUUUGAUUGUCCGAGUUGUAAUUUGUAGAGGAUACUUUUGAUGCGGUGCCUUCCGAGUUCCCUGGAACGGGACGCCAUAGAGGGUGAGAGCCCCGUCUGGUUGGAUGCCAAAUCUCUGUAAAGUUCCUUCAAC
rnacentral:rRNA from 1 species